GUCCCGACGCCAAACCCUAGCUUUCUUAUUUCUUCUUCUUUGUUGUUUGCUGGAGUAACAUCCAGGUUUCAUGUGAGGUGAUCCUGAUCAGGUACAGGGGUUGUACCGGAGUUUCUCAAUAAGUGGUAUCAGAGCCUGAUCACAUGGAGGAAAGAAGAAGAUGCCAAGAUCAAGUUCAGCCCGAUUUCUACAGUGCCCAGAUUUGUUCUUGUUUUCUUUCCUAUUGCUUCUUUGGUUGUGGUGAUCUUCCAGUUAGGUGGAGGAUUUUAACAUAAGAAAGGAUUGGAAAAAGGUGGAGAAGAUCUAUUUCAGAUAUGAUCCUAUUUUUGAGGUGUGAGGCGUGGUAUUGCAG
rnacentral:lncRNA from 1 species